CAAUGGCUAUGUAUGUGUGGCAGAAAGAAAUAAAGGCUUCUUUAAGUUUUAUUUGGUGUACUCGUGAAGCCCCACAGUUUAUUCUCUCUCUGUCUCUUCUGGACAGAGAGAGAAUCUCUCUACAGAUGCUGUACCUGGAAUCUGCUGGAGCUUCUCUCUCAGUUUGUGGGUCACAGCCCCCAGUGCUCCGAUCACUACUGGCACCACUCUUGCCGUCACUCCCCACUUCUUUUCCAGGUCCUCGUUCAGCCCCUUGGUAUUGUUGAUAUUUUCGUGUUGCUCCUUCCUGAUGUUGCUCUCGCUCGGGAUUGACACAUCUAUUACCAGCGCCUUCUUCCGUCGAUCAACGUCAUGUCUAGUUGGUUAGCCAUCACCAGUUUCUCAGGCUGGAUGUGGAAGUCCCUCAGGAUCUUAGCUCAGUCAGAUGUUCCUGUACACUAUACCUGCCACUUGGUUAUGGUGUCCCAUGUAUGUUGUUAUGUGCUGGACUGUCUCAGGAGCAUCUUUGCACAGCCUGCGUCUGGGGUCCUCUCUGGUGUGGUAGAUCCCUGCCUUUACUGAUCUCACCAAGGGCCUGCUCUUGUGCUGCCAUGACUUCCAGUGGAAGGCUCGGAUCAGCCAAGAUGGAUCCAGCUUUCCUAAAGGACCUUUCCUGAUACAGGUCAUGGAUGUUGUUCAGUGGUGUUCGAGCAAUUUUGCUGCACACUUUCACAAGGCCUUACAGGCAAAUUUUCUGUCUGACAGAAAGUGGCCCGUGCCAGCAGAUAAAAGAAAAGGAGUCUCCUGUCCACCGAACCACCCACCAUCCAGGAACCGGAGCUAGCAGAGUUCCUCGAUCUCUCCAAGCACUCACAACCUUGGAAGUCAAGACCGUAAGACCUAGAUAUAGUUUGAUUCAUCGUUGGAACACUCCUUUCCUGCAUUCACUUUGAAUCAUUCAAGUCGUGUCUACAAAUCUUCCUGUCAGGCUCAACACACUCCAUCAAUCAAGAUGUUCAGGUAGACGGUUUGUUCAUGUGGGCAUGCAUGAUUGAUCCUCCCUCCACGCUUUGUGAUCAGAUAAAGUGUUGGCAUUUGUGGUUUCCUGCUGUCCAGUGUAAGCGGACUGUGACAGCUCCUUGGGGGCUUGGUUGAAAUAUCCGCCUGACACCCAACAAACAAAGCCUCACUCCCCUGCCCCCAGGCCAGAUAUGAUUAUAAACAAGAGAAGAAGAGGAAGAAAACACAAUAUAAAGGUCAGGACUCAGCACUUCCUGCAGCUCAGAGAAGCCGUUGACCUGAUUGUUUUUUUGGUUGCUUGCAUGCAAAUACCAGUGAUCCAUGCAAAGGCGGGUGUGCACGAGAGACAGAAUCAUUGGGUUGGUUGAAGGUAUGGGGACCUAAUGUGGGUACAGGGAGGUGGAGGGGAGGUGUCACAAAAAAUUGUAACCUUCUCUCAGGAGGGAACGAGGAUGGGUGGGUGGUAGAAAUGCAACAUAUUGGAGGGGAUCUCUUCUACUUCUACUUUUCCAUCUUUUUUUUUCUCUUACUGAAACAGAGAACUGAUGAUGAUCAAAAAAAAUCAUACAGUAUGAACACGCCAUUGGACAAACAUAGAAAAAGUCUAAAAUUAUUAGCUCAUGGUUUAUUAAAUAAAGAAAGGAAGAAAACAGCAGAGGUAUAGCCAAGACAGAGAAGUCUGCAAACUUGCAGGUCUGGAGUAGAUGCAACAAGGCAGAGGACAACAACAGCAUAUAGCUGAUUCUUAAAUAUCUAAAUCAAUUAUUUCAAGUAAACACAAAAGGCAACUCUGUUUGUACAUUAGAUUGUAAAACUGUCCUUAGUCAGCAUUGUAGCUCUGCAAAUGUUAUGAAUAUUGACAGAUCCUUUCUGUUCAAUAUCAUCUUGCAUAUUAGCUGUUUAGAUUAUUUGGUUCAACUUGUCUGGUUGCUCCACUGCACUCUACUGAUAAAGCUGUAGCAAUUCUGCUGUGCCCUCAGACCAUAGCAAUGAAGUUAAGUAAAAUGUCUUACUGUUAAGGCCAUAAAACAAAAAAAUAAUUGCAAAAAGGAAAUGAAAGAAGCUGUAUAAUUAUUCAGUUUUCCAUUAAAAGUCUGGACUGAGUGAAAAAAGUGAUUUUUUUUUUUUUACUGUGCCCCAAAAGAAUGUCAUGUCAGGGCAUAUUACUGUAGGUGUGACCAUUACUCCUUUGAUGACAAUAUGUAUCCAGAUGUAUGGGCCACAAUACCAUUCAGGGAGGAUCCCUGUGUAACCCCCCCCAAAUAAAACAAUUCACUGCUAUUUCAUGCAAUAA